CUAGCAUGCUGCAGAAAAAGACCAACUGACAGGCUGUCCAUAAGAGAUGUCGUUUCUGAGAUGAACAAGAUAAGGGCUUGCUAUGCUGUAGAAGUAACUAGGAAAUGUAGUUCAGAGUGAUGGAGCAUCAGUGCCUUGUUCUUGAGCACUAGUUUCAUAAGAUAACAAUGGGAAAUUAUUAUUUAUACCAAUAUAAAAAUCAUGAGUUGAACUUGGUGUACUUUUGAUCUGUCAACUCCAUUUCAUAAUUAUUCAUCCAGUUAUUGUGGACAAAUGUUACGACCUCCCCUAAUAACACUUUCACCUAUGGCCUCUUAGUAUACUUACUUUGUUCUGUUACUCUCUAAUUUAUAUUGUAUAUGUGGUAAUUCUUAUUUUUACGUGCAUAGAGAAUUUGUCCUUUUAAGUGAUAUUGUUUUUAUGAAAAGAUCUCGUGCCUAUGCUUUCAAGAUGUGAUGUAAAAUUCCAAACAAUGUGUUUUUUGUAAUUUAACAUUGAACUAUACAAUGAUAGAUAUAUGUGAGCUUAAAAAUGUGCUUCUAAUAUGUUCGAUUCAGUAUUUACUAACAUUUCUUAAAAAAACGAACAUGUUUUUCUAUAGUUUCUUCCACAUCAAUCAACAAUACUGAAGGCACGAAAACAUUUAAUUUUCUAAUAGCCUACCCCAACUUGUUUGGGACAAAAGGCUUAGUAGGUAGUAGUAGUAGUAGUAGUAGUAGUAGUAGUAGUAGUAGUAAGUAUACUUGAAAAAACAUAAAUGUAUUUGUUUUCAUGUUAUUCGAACGUGCUCUGCACAUGCACAGUUACCGGCGUUGAGAUGGGACGGAGUCCAAAAACUAGAGAGCAAGAGAUGGAAUCAAGGUCGGUGUUUAAGGGAGCAUUCCAAUAAUACACCUUCUGAACUGAAUUGUUUGAGGAUGUUUUUUCAACAUCAGAUUAUCGGCUUUUCCAUCCUUCAGUUCAACGCUGCAAUGCAGCUAUUUUGCAUAUUUUGUAUAAAAUACCAGGAAGGCAAGAAAAUCUAACAUUACUUUUAUCAGAUACACAUGUCAAAUAUCCUUGCUUCAACACAACGGACUGCAGUUCUCUUUCUCUGAUAAAUCUUAUUACUUGCAUUCCCCUAGUACUUAUCCAGAGUUUUGAGUUGCAGGAGCAGCCAUAUGUAACAAUAACUAGUUAUUUUAUAUCUUGGCACAUCCUGGACAGCUAAUUACGAUUAAGUCUAGCUUUAUUUGUUUUCUUGAAAUCACAGCUCAAAUAUUUCUGCAGAAUUUGAAGCACACAAAUACAUGACAUGACAACACACCUGCAAAUAAUUUAAAGAGCAAAGAUGUGUGGAUGAAAACGAUAUACAGUGUCCACCUUGAUUUUGCUGAUCAGACGGCUUCAUUUACGCCAGCCUUCCUUCCCAUUUUUAUUGCUCCCACUGCAUACAAAGAGUGAAAAAGGAUAGUACGAUCAAGUCGACUUUAACAUCUUGGCCUUUUCUGCCUAAAUAUUAACAUUUGUACAUCACUAGAGUUGCACUCCACUUUCCCCCAAACAAUCCUGCUAUGUUCUUUCUAAUCAAGUCAACUUCCAAUCAAUUUACUAGUCUAGGUUUUCGUAUAAGUACAGUAUUGCUACCUUUUGGCUGCAACUAUUCAAGAAUUACUCCUGCAGCUCAACGAGGCAGUAAGCUGGCCUGAAAGCUGAGGCGAGCGGCAGCCCUGGAAGCAAGCGCCGCUGUACGGCCUCCCCAUCCUCUCGCGGGCCACGGAUAGUAAGGUCUGCUCCUUCCCGCUGCUCGGCAAGAAGAGCGUGAAUCCGGCCGGAUCUAAGUCGGCCGCAACGGUUCAGCCCAGAUCCAUGGAUCCUUCCCGCCUUCCCGACGAAAGAGAGGAGCGGGAGAACGCGUCGGUGGCUUGGAGCCGUGGAGCGGGAGGGGCGGCAGUGGGAAGGCACUUAGGGCGUGUUCGGUAACCCUCUCCAG
rnacentral:lncRNA from 1 species